rnacentral:misc_RNA from 1 species
AAAGUCGUAACAAGGUUUCCGUAGGUGAACCUGCGGAAGGAUCAUUACAAAGAAAACACCAGGUUUGGGUUUAGAAAGUAGGAAGUUCUUCUUCCAAAAUUGAUGCCCAUUCUUGGUUUACUUUUUGUAUGAACUUUUAUUGUGAAAUGUGUCCUGUCUCUGGCAGUUAGGUGUUGGUUUUGGUAUGGUUUAAGCCUACUGCCAUUUGGGUGCUUUAUGCACUUUUUUGUAUGUCCAAGUUUGUCUAAGUUUUGUUGUUUUGAAAAUUUUACUUUACAACUUUUGGCAAUGGAUCUCUUGGCUCUU